AAAAUUGGGCGGGUGAGGAAUUAAACCGGUCGUGAGUUGGAGAGCGACGGAGGAGAGAUCUUGGCGAUGAGUUGCCGGAGAUUCUUGUCGAUCCCGGUUCUUUCGGUGAUUCUGGUGAUGGGUUUCGUGUACUACGUCACACUCUUCGUUUUCAUCGAUGAUUGGGUUGGUUUACAAAGCUCAGCUGGGAAAUUAAACGCCUUCCUCUUCAGCUUCUUGGCGUCUCACUGUCUCUUCUCGCUCUCAAUCUGCGUUCUUGUAGAUCCAGGUCGUGUUCCUGCAACUUAUGCUCCUGAUGUUGAGGAUUCUUCUUGGUCCAAUUGUAACGCUACAGAAACAAGGAAAUGUGAUAAGUGCUUUGCAUAUAAGCCUCCCCGGACUCAUCAUUGCCGAGUUUGCAGAAGAUGCGUCUUGAAGAUGGACCACCACUGCCUUUGGAUCAAUAACUGUGUUGGUUAUGCAAACUAUAAGGCAUUCUUCAUUCUUGUGUUUUAUGCAACUGUGGCUUCCAUCUACUCCACAGUGUUGCUGGUUUGCUGCGCAUUCAAGAAUGGAGAUUCUUAUGCAGGAAAUGUUCCACUCAAAACUUUCAUUGUUUCAUGUGGGAUCUUCAUGGUAGGACUGAGCAUAACACUUGGGACUCUCCUUUGUUGGCAUAUCUACCUCAUCGCUCACAAUAUGACCACCAUUGAGCAUUAUGACUCAAAGCGGGCCUCGUGGUUAGCUAGAAAAUCAGGACAAAGCUAUAGGCAUCAAUUUGAUGUUGGCGUUUACAAAAACAUCACCUCGGUGUUAGGCCAUAACAUGAUCAAAUGGUUUUGCCCCACAUUUACUAGGAAUCCUGAAGAUGCUCUUAGCUUCUCUACAUCGAGAGAUAGCUAGCUAAAAACUUCAGUCACCAAUCUCCGGUUACACUUUCAGCUCGGAUAUGGGUAGGGAUUAGCCCAACAAUUCAAUCAAAUACUUGUACAUUUCUUCUGAGCUCAGAAGCACAAAGCAAACAUGUCUAUCAGAUUUUGCCCGAGAGAGUAGUAGAAAGGAAACAGAGCUAUAAACAAGGUUGAUAUCUAUGAUGUGACAGUUUUGUAAGAUAAUGAAAGUAUGGUUUUUGAUGUGAAGAUCAUCUAAAAUGUUGGGUUUCAUUGUUU